GUCGGGGGGCGGGGAGGUUUCUGUGACCUCUGCUUGUUGUUUCGGUUCUUCUUCUGUGACCUUGCAGGUUUGCCGUUUGACUCGGGGUGUCGACUGACUGCUGUCAGUCGGGAUUUCCUGAGGGGUCACUUUUGGAGAGGUGUCAUGGAGAAGAUGUGGAAAGGCUGAUUACUAUGGAGCACAGCGUGACAGUGAGGCCAUUGCUGCAGAGUCAGCUACCUCAUCCUCCACAAGUUCCAGCGGCGCCAAGCUAAGCUAGCCCAGGUGGUGGCCGAGCUCCAGGAGCAAGAGGGAAGAGGGAGGAGGCUGGCCCGGGAGAAAGCCCAGAGAGAGUCCCUGGAGCUGGGUGAAGCAAGAGUGAAGCAGGAGGGAGCCCCCCCUGCCUGGAGCUCGGACGACAAGUGGAUGCGACCGAGGAGCUGAUGGGAGAAGAGCUGGGGACGAGGAAGGAGGACAGAGAGAGAGAGAGGUCUGAGGGAGGAGUGGGCAAGGAGGGAGGAGAGGAGCAGAAGAGAGAUGGGAGAAGGCUUUGAGACAAUAAGAUAUUAAACAGGAGUUUCUUGUAUUUCUUUCCAUUUCUUGGGAAGAAAUUGAAAUAUCAAAGCUCUUUCUUGAAAAGAAAUGGAAAGGCGGCAGAGUGAGGAACUGGCGGCAUGUUGGGAAGAGAAAGAGAGAAAGUUCUGAGCCACGAGCUCCUAAACACCAAUAUCGAGUUGGAUGGGCUGAGGAAAUAUCUCAAACAGCUGGAAGGAAGGGAGCAGAGGAGGCAUGGAGAGGAGCUGUCACAACAGCGGCAGGCGGGGAUGCACCAACACCGAGGAGAUCCUUCCAGAAACCUCUACAGUGGUCCCAGACAGAGGAAGGCCCAGAGAGGAAGAAGAGCUGUUCCCCUGAUGACGUGCCAUGACCGAUCAGGAUACCAAGUUGCCAUGGUUACUUCAGUGUUGAAACAGGAGGACAAAGAGGGGGAAGAGCUGGGCCUCUGGCAGCAGCUCCAGCGGGACAGGAGGAGCUGAGGGGGAGGAGCCGGGAGGAGAAGGAGGAGCCGGGAGGAGGAGGAGGAGCCGGGAGGAGGAGGAGGAGACGCGGCGUGAGCUGGAGCACUCCCGACGCGAGGAGGCGCUGGAGCUCAGCUGCGUCAAGGCAUACCUCCGGCUGCUGACUGACGAGAACGCAGCACUGCAGGAGGAGCAGUGACUGAGUGAUUCCUCUUCCGACACCAGCCCUCACGCAACUAUCGCAGUCAUGUGAUGUCACUGAAGGGCAUCUGUGGUCCUUGCUGCCAGUGGGACAAUGGCCGCGUGUGAGUGAGUCUAUGACACGUGCGUGUGUGUGUGUGUGUGUGUGCGUGUGUGUGUGUGUGUGUGUGUGUGUGUGUGUGGGGGUGUGGGUGUGGUUGGGUUUGGUUUUGUGUGUGCGUAUGUGUGUGUGAGUUGAUGUGUUUGUAUUUAGGUAUCGCAUACGUGUGUUUGUGUGUGUAUGCAAGCACUGUUGCGUCCUCAUUUGCACACAUUCCUCAAAAUCUCCUUCCAGAUGCACUAAUGACCUUUGAACUUCUCUUUCAUCCCCUUCCCCACUUGCAGCACUUCCUCCCCCCGUGACCUUCGUGUUUUCCUCUUUCCCUGGCUUUGAAGAGACCACUUCACCAUUGCAGAAGGACCAACAUUUACACACACACACACACACACACACACACACACACACACACCGCACUCUGUCCUGAAAUCUCUUCUUUACCUCUGUGUUUAUUUAUGGUUAUCGAUAAAGUGAUGGAAACUCAUUAAAUCGUUGUUUUGAUUACACGCACAUACUUUUAUAUCUAUGUGUUUGCAUCUCUGACCCACACACACUCACGCACACAUACCUUUGGCCUGCGUCUUUAUCUGUCUGUCGGUUUCCGUUUAAUGACUCAGACUAUCCGUUCUUCUGUCACAGAAGCUAGCGUGUGUGGUGAUUUAUUCCCUAUCAACGCAUCACUGUUUAGUUCACUGUGAUCCCUACCCCUCCCUUAUAUUUAUUCGAACACUCAAUUGCUUUUUACCACAUAUUGCGUGCACUCUUAUCAGGAAGUUGAGAGAGGCUGGGCUGGUGGUGUGUCAAUAUAAAUCAUUCUCUGGUCACGCUUACACAUUGUAGACCUUAAUCUCCGGCUAUCUGUUGUGUUUUUGUAUAUGUGUGCGUGUGAGUGUUUAACAGACAUCCCGUGAAGUGAAUGGCCCCCACUGUUUUCACAGACCGUCUUUAAAUCCCAGCUCCUCUAAGCUCUUACACAUUUUAUGUCCCUACGUGAUUGGCUAGCCCAGAGCGCAGAGAGAGCCUAUCUCCUGACGUAAAGAGGGUUUUCAUCAUACCUCAACAGGGCAUUCAUUUUAAACAUUUACAUUUGUUCGCCGCUGACGGAAACACAGUUAUUUCCUCUGAAACACCACCACACUCACACCACACUCACAAGCACCAACAUACAUUCAUGCAUAUUUCUGAGCAUGGUCACCUCCCAGUGAUUAUCAUAGCAGGGCAAGCAUGCACACGUGUCCUCAAGGAAUCUGCGCGAGUUGCUCGUAAACACGCAUGCACACCAGGGAGUGGUGUGUAUGCACAGCUAAGCUGUUGUUCGUCAUUGGGCGUCCCCAACCACCUCCCUCCUACGUCUUUACGGCCAUUCCUGAAUUCUGCCAUCCCGUGAGCCCUCCCACACCCUUUAAUUAGUGUCACCGGGGCAACCGGAGAAAGA
ensembl:lncRNA